AACGCUGGCGGCGUGCCUAACACAUGCAAGUCGAACGGAGAUUAGACGCUGACGAGACUCGGUCAAUCUGUUAAUCUUAGUGGCGGACGGGUGAGUAACGCGUGGGCAACCUGCCUCAUACUGGGGGAUAGCAGUUGGAAACGACUGAUAAUACCGCAUAAGCGCACAGCAUCGCAUGAUGCAGUGUGAAAAACUCCGGUGGUAUGAGAUGGGCCCGCGUCAGAUUAGCUAGUUGGUAAGGUAACGGCUUACCAAGGCGACGAUCUGUAGCCGGACUGAGAGGUCGGACGGCCACAUUGGGACUGAGACACGGCCCAAACUCCUACGGGAGGCAGCAGUGGGGGAUAUUGCACAAUGGAGGAAACUCUGAUGCAGCGACGCCGCGUGAAGUGAAGAAGUAUUUCGGUAUGUAAAGCUCUAUCAGCAGGGAAGAAAGGCUCGUAAGAGAGAUGACGGUACCUGACUAAGAAGCCCCGGCUAACUACGUGCCAGCAGCAGC
rnacentral:rRNA from 1 species